GGUCCGUUGGUCUAGUUUUGGUUAGGACGCAUCCCUGUCACGGAUGAGAUCACGAGUUCGAGCCUCGUACGGACCGCUA
rnacentral:tRNA from 3 species